CGGCGCGCGUCGCCGAGCCCGCAACCACCGCGCCAUCUAGCCGCGACCACCGCACCAUGCUCCGGCGAGACGUGUGCGACUGCUGUCGACGCACGCAUGGAGCUUCAUCGCCCAGACGCGGGUGCUGGAUCCCGUCACCCUCCGGUCGGAUCCACGGUGGUGCUGGUCUCCGGCGAGUUCGACGGUGGAUCCGCAGCGCGGUGCCUCGAUCUACAACGCCAGCAGCUCCGAUUAUUCUUGUAUGGAGAGACCAGGGGUGUGCUUCAGGGGUUCUGGAUGAAGUAGGUCGAGGCAUUGAUGUUGUGUCCAGGCUUUUCUUUUAUACAAUGGUGGCGAUGAGGGAUGAAGUAUGUGAGGAUCAGUAAUGUUGUCGCACGACAAUGUCCGUUCACUCAUGGGUUUUCUCAAGGCGUGCCCUGAACUGAUCUCCUACUCGCUGCUCUAUCGAGGCGCCGUGACCCGGCCUCACAGCCAGGGCCAGGGCGAAGACUGCUCCCCGACGGCCAAGACACGGCCACGGUGGUGCAGCCUGUGGUCUACAUCGCCUACCACUCCGCCGUCUUCCGGAACCCCCACCACUUCCGCAGCAAGAUCGCCCAUGGCGCGGACGAGACAGCGACGUCGGCAGGAGGGCACUUUGCAGCCCCUGGACUGAGGAGGAUGGGCGCACAUAGCCACCAAGCCCUCUGCUCCUCUUCUUCCAAGGCGAGCGAUCAAGGGUCCCGAGCUCGACGAGUCCAGCCUGGCCACCACGACGCAUUGCUCCCAGUAGGUAGCACGUCCCUCUCCCUCUCCUCACUCACCUGCUACUAUGCUAAUAUUCCAGUGAUGCUAUUUUUCAGUUGGAUUAAACAUUAUAUUUUGAUCUGACUUGUAAUUAACAAAAAUAGCAAACUGCUUUCUUCAACGUUUGGGAAGAGGGUUCAGUAGUUAGGUUCUCAGUCUGCCUAUCAAUAAAACUAAUCAAAAAAUUUCUGUGUGUGAGCCGAGAUGUGUGUCAUGCGAUGUUGAGAACGAGCACUAAGAGCAGAGAGAUGGAGCCAGGGGACGACAAUUACAACUCCUAUAGCACCAAUAUGUUAAAAGGCAUGGGAGCAGAUAUUCCCAAGGCCUACAUAUUAUGGCUGGCAGCUACUUCAUGGAAUCAGUAAUAUGGACUUAGAAGACAGGCAUGAAUAAAACAAUGAGGUCAUAAAAUGGAAAGGAAUCUCUGGGACACAUACAAGAUAAUCAAUGCUAUAUCAGAAACAUCUUGAGCAUGACAGAGAAAUGUGGAUCCUGUGUGAACUUGAAGAUCGGUGACAAUUGAAGUGGCCACCCCGAGCCGAUUCCCCAAUGUGUCAAUGACUACGUCCACUGCGUGAUCCUGUGGGACAUGACCAAUCCAUUGCCUUAUCAACACAUCGAGGGUGAAUUGAGUUCAGAGCUUUGAGCACCCGAUUGCGAUUUUGUAGCUGCAGUGGUGCUAUUCUUUAUCAUUUGGCAGAUGAAGGCCGUCGAAGAUCACAAGCGCAGCUUGCUAUUGUACAUGUUUAGAAUCUAGAAAGGCUGAUGAAGGCCGUCGAAGAUCACAAGCGCAGCUUGCUAUUGUACAGGUUUAGAAUCUAGAAAGGUUGUUAAUUCCAAAUCAAUUUGGAAUCCAGUCAAAACUACUCUCAAGGACUGCUCUGAACCUCAAAUAUCGUCGGCCAAAGAAUUUGUGAUAUGUUGAUUGAUGCAACUAUGCUGUACUGUUUCAGUGACUGUUAAAAGUAGACAAAACAGAAGUCUGGCAUUUUAGGUCACGGAAGUCUGGCAUCCUUUGUACACGAUCCUUUGUACACUAAUAUGAGGCGUUUUAGGUCACGGAAGUCUGGCAUGGCUGCAUCUAUUUUGAACACGAUCUGUACACGUAGACAUAACAAAGAAAGAAAACCUGUGUGUUUA